AAGAUUCAACAGAUACCCUACUGCCUCUCUUUGUGGCUGCGGGGCUCAGGCUGCAGCACCACAGCACUGUGUGUGUAUAACUGGGGCCACCUGCCCCUUCCAAGUGUGGGCCUUUUAACCUCUGUCGACAGGU
rnacentral:snoRNA from 1 species